rnacentral:rRNA from 1 species
GGUUGACCUCGGAUCAGGUAGGGAUACCCGCUGAACUUAAGCAUAUCAAUAAGCCGGAG